GGUACUUGAACUUCUCUACCUCAUCAUCUCCUUCAUCUUCCCUUUGUAUGGUUUUCUUUUUCAGGUAAUUUGAAUGCUUUAGCGAUGGUUCACUUGAUCAAUUAUCAAUAACUUACAUUCACAUUUGACUAGAACCUCCAUUGUUGUUAUUGUUCACCGUGCCCACAAACAAAUUUCUAUUUAUGUAGUUAUAGUUGAUUGGAGUCAGACUAACUUAGGUCUUAAUUUUUUUAAUUGUGAAUUUCUUUU
rnacentral:misc_RNA from 1 species